rnacentral:rRNA from 1 species
UACGGGGGGGAGCAAGCGUUGUUCGGAUUCACUGGGCGUAAAGGGUGCGUAGGCGGUCGGGUAAGUCUGAUGUGAAAUCUCACAGCUUAACUGUGAAACUGCAUUGGAUACUAUUCGGCUUGAGAGUUGGAGGGGGGACUGGAAUUCUUGGUGUAGCAGUGAAAUGCGUAGAUAUCAAGAGGAACACCAGUGGCGAAGGCGAGUCCCUGGACAACUUCUGACGCUGAGGCACGAAAGCUAGGGGAGCAAACAGG